rnacentral:lncRNA from 1 species
AGGUAUGAAAUUUUACUCCUUUUGCACCUACUUUUUAACACUCUCGUAGAAUCUAUUUCUAAAAUGACGAGAUAUUAUUGCUUAUUCAUGUCAAAUCUAGAGCAUACUAAAUGAAGAGGCUAAAACCGUAUUGAGUGAUGCUGAUAACCUAACUGAAGAGAAAGUCGAUGACGUAUUGAAGAAGUUUCUUGAAGAUUUCAAAGUAGGUUCAUUGGAAAGCAAAGGCUGGCCUAAAACUGGUGGUGCUUAUGUCUUAUCUAAAGCUGCUAUUAAUGCUUAUACAAGAAUUGUUGCGAAGAGUUUCCCGACUAUAAGUGUCAAUAGUAUUUGCCCUGGUUAUGUCAUCACAGAUAUAACCAGCAAUACUGGUGUGUUAACAGCUGAAGAAGGUGCUGCAAGUGUUGUGACGCUAGCACUACUUCCCAAUGGGGGUCCGUCUGGCCAAUUCUAUAACCGGACCGAAGUCACUACCUUCUAAUAAGUACUAGAACUUGUGAUUUAAGGACAAAGUGUGUUACUUUGCUUUUUUAUCAUUGUUAUUAUUGUUGUUGUUUUUGUUGCAUCAUGUUUUAUAGAUAUAAUAACAAGACUUAUUAUAUAUCUAAUGAAUAACACGUGAUAAAUUACUAGCUAAUUCUGUGUAUUCAUCUUGUACUAUUAAUUAAGCGAUGUACCAAGUUGUAUGUCAGAUUAAGAAAGUUGCUUAUCUGCAAAAGUAUAAUUGUAUAUAUUGUGGAAUGAAAUUUCAAAUUUAGAGUAUGUAUAAAGCUGAUAUAUAUUAUUGGAUGGAGAAACUUGAGCUUGAGUUUAAAUCAAGUGGUUACUGUAAUUAAAUUAAGGACCUAUUGUUUCAGAGAACUUUAGCUUAAAUUUUAGUUGAAACAAUCAUUGAUUAGGCUUUAUCCAGAAAGACUCUGGAUUAUAGGGUCCCUUACUGGUAUAUUUUGUUCUUCACCUUCCAGUGUACUAGGGUCCACUGUGAAGGAAAAUUUCAGUCUUCUGAUAGUGAUUGGGCAUGUUGUGUUGUGUUGAUGAUAUAUAUUUGAAGCACCUCAGGUUAUUGCUUCACUCUUGGUUCUGUUGUUGGUGAAUAAGUAGAAUGUCCGGGGUUCGAACCCCGACUCCUGCAUAUAUAAUGCAAUGUUUCUACCAACUGAGCUAAGUUCGGAGGGACGUGUGUCUUGUCUGCUUAUUGCUCUUUAAAUGUAUGUUUUGAUAUUCAAUAAAAUAUUGUGCUUUCCACAUCUCAAAAAUUUCUUGGUUCAAUAUUCUUAUUCCAUCCUUGUACAUUUCUUUUAAUAACCAACAACUUCAUUAUUGAAUUUUCUCUAUUGGCCUUUCUUGAUAGCAUUGGGACCAUACCAAUGACAAUUAAAACAAUGCAACUUCUAUAAAUUUUGUGAUUAAACAAUUUCCAUAACAAAAAGUUAUACUGAAGAGUACAAGAACUUGGCUUAUAAAAUGUUUAAUUUUUUCCAAGUGGUGAGGGUCUCGGUACCCUUAAGUAUGUGGUCGGGCGAUUCUUAGCUCAUGCAUAUGGAAAACAUUCAGCUGGGAGGGGAGAACCCACCUUGUGUGCUCCACUGGUUUCUGACAAAAAUUAUUAAUCGCUAACGGCGGCAAAAACUUCGUACCAAUAUCAUGGUAACCAAAAAAAAUGCUCAAUUUUUAACAUGCACAAAGUAAUUUUAAAUAUGACAUAGUCAAAUUCAACAGGAUCAUCAAUAUCUUCUUCUUUAAUGGAAUGUUGAUCAGGUCAUACUUUAUUUACCUAAAAGACAAUAUACAUAAACUGAACCUAAUCAUAGAGACCAACGGAAAAGACCAAAUGACAAAUUGCAUAGUGACAAAAAUAACAAGCUGGCAGGAAAAUAACCUUAAACGGCAUAGUAAUUUAGUAUAUUAUGUUUGGAGCUGCAUUGUUUUUGGUUUCAUUGUUAUGAUAAGCAUCCAUUCACAUUCCAAACAUUAAACUUGAAACUUAAGAUGGGAAAAGCUACUAAAAGGUAAUAUUAGAAUCACAUGUCGUAAAUUGUUCUUAUGCGGUCACGGUUGCAGUUACACUGUGAUCCUUGAUAUUACAGCAAUAUAUGGCUGAUGCAGCUGUAAUUGCAUUUGUAGACGGCAAUUUAGACCUAUGAUUAGAAUAAUAUAUUUUAAUUCACGCCGUUAAAUUAUUGUUAUGUAUUCCUCAUCCCUAUAAACUUACAUGUUUUGAUCCUUUUAGUUUUUUGGGAUGAGUUUGUCAGGUAUGCAGUGGUGACUGGAUCGAACAAAGGAAUUGGGUUCGAGAUAGUAAGGCAGUUAGCUUCAGCUGAAAUUAAUGUGGUGCUUACAGCAAGAGACGAGAAAAGGGGUCUUCAAGCAUUAGAAACACUCAAAUCCUUUGGUCUAUCCGAUUUUGUUGUCUUUCAUCAAUUAGAUAUUGCUGAUGCUUCAAGUAUAGCCUCUCUUGCAAAUUUUGUCAAGUCUGAAUUUGGAAAACUUGAUAUCCUGGUAACAUGCAAAAAAUGGUUCUCCUUUCCACUUUUUUGUAGUGAAUAUAAGUUUUUCAUGUUACUAGCUUAAGGAUUUGGAUGUACCGCAGUCAAGAUUUUUCGGAUUUGCAGCCGUUGCGGAUAGCAGGCCAUCUGAUCAAAAAGAUUGCACGGAUCAUAUUACAACUAAGAAUUUUAAGUCAAAUAACAUAGUUGGAAUGUGAGGCGUCUUAUCUUGAUGAGAUGAUCUGCAAAGCUCAACUACAACAAAUUUGAAAAAUCUUGACUGCAGGUAAUCGCAAUCUUGUGCUUUCGUACCUUGCAAUAUUCGUUGUUCUACAUGCACGCUUCAUACUUAUUGUUGUUCCGAGGCACAAGAUAUCAUUCAUCUCGGUCUUCUCUACCGCUGAGAGAUGCGCUGACAUAUGUGCAAAUCCCUUUAACACUUCAACACACUUUUGUUGAACCAAAAUUGCCCUCAUCUUCACCUUCCACAACCCAAAGUCGUUACCCCCGGUGAACUUCUCAAUUUCCCAUUUUGAACCCAUGGUGCUUAAUCCAAUUAACCCUUUGCCCCACGGUGGGCGCCAAUUGUUGUGAAUCCAAAGAUAACCACACCAAUAACCUUUAGUGUGUGGAACAAAUGAAUUGAAGCAACCAAACAAAAUCAAUGAACAAUAAUCACACAAAAGCUAAAACAAGUAAAAGCCAUUAAGAACACGAAUAAUUGUUUACCCGGUUCGGUUAAAACCAACUUGGGGGAGAGAGAGAUCUUCGUUCCACUAUCAAUCAAAGAACUUGAUUACAAAGAUUCAAUACGAAGAGUUGCAAGAAUUUAUAGUUUUCCAAAAUUCUACCCUUUUUACGAAUCUCUCCCCUGUGAUCAAGAGAUUCAAUCAAUAAGUGUUUACAAGGUGUUAGAAUCACUUUCCCAACCCAAGAUUUAUACCCAAGAGAAACCCUCUUAGGGUCUGUUUGGUUCGGGGGUUUUGGAGGAGAGGGGAGGCGAGUGGAGGGGAGGUUGAGGAAUAUUUAAAAACCUAGCUUGAUGUUGGUUGCAAAAACCCUUGAAAAACCCUUUCUCUCUCUUCCUGGCGGCUGCACAACAACAUGACAACACUAUAUAUCAGGUUUUUGCGCCUCAUACCCCAGAAUUUUGAGCACCAUGCGCAAAAGGCAGCAGCACCUGCUGCAACUGCACCUCAUACUCCAAAACUGGCGCUAAAUUAAUAAAAUUAACAAAAUUAACAAAAUUUGUUCAAUGCAGGUUAACAAUGCAGGGAUUAUUGGAACUAUAAUUCAUGACAAAGAGUUAUUUAAUCUAGCUAUCAUGAACCGUGGUGUAAGUAUGCACUGAAAAUGGAUUAUUAACAUACUCUCUAUAUUUCUACUAAUUUUCCAAUAUUUUAUCCUUGAUAAUGAAAUGAAAACUUCUAUUAAUUCUGCUUGGAGCUUCGACCGUUCAACAAUAAGUAUUCAUGAGUUAUCCUUUGCAGGCAUUAUCAGAAGAUAAUAGAAGAAAGGCAGUGACUCAAACAUAUGAGUUAGCUGAAGAAUGCUUGCAAACAAAUUAUUAUGGAGCUAAAAUAACUUCUGAAUCACUUCUGCCACUCCUAAAGUUAUCUGAUUCACCAAGAAUUGUGAAUGUAUCAUCAACUUUAGGGCAGUUAGAGGUAUACUAUUUUACUCCUUGCCUUAAUAAAUGCAUCCGUAGAUUAUUUCAGGAGAGUGAAAAUUGAUUCUGAAGACUUAAAAUUAAUUUUGGCAUGUUUCGGAAUUCCUGAAUAGAAUUGAUUCUAACUCGAAACUAUCAUUUGGAGUUUUGGCCUCCAAACAUAAUUUUUACAGUCAAAUCUCUUACAUUCAACUCACUUUUAGCCAAAAUCAAUUUUUGUUACCGCAGAAUCAAACACACUAAAAGGAAAUCUUGCUCAUCAUAAUGUUUAGGUAUAGAGUCAUUUUGCAAUCAAUGUGUAAGGUAACCUUAAGUAUAAAUAGAAGUAGUGACAUUUACCAUCAACCCACCUUUAGUAUCUAUAUGUAUAUAGAUAAGAUAGUAUUGUUGCACCAGACUUUUCCAACAAGUUAAACAAGAGAAAUAAUACCACCCUACAAAACCCGGCUUGUAAGGUGAAGAUUUCCCUCACUUAUAUUGCAACCGAUAGUCCGAUCAAAAACAUGAUACCAUCUUAGAGCCUCGUGGAGGAGGCUCUGAUAUCAUCUUAGAAUUGGGAGUUGGGCCUAACUCAACCCUACAAAACAUAUUUGUAAGGUGAGGAUUUCCCUCACUUAUAAACAUAUAUUCAGGCGAUGUGAGACUUUUUAACAAUAACCAAAUGCUAUUUUCAGUAUAGAAAAAUAAGCUUAGUCCUAAAAAUAGGAAACAGACUCGCUGCCGCAUCACGCAGUUACUAAUUUCGCUGUCUGAUCUAUAUUAAUGGUCAAGAUCAUUUAAAAUUGAUAUAGUGAAUAUGUAAUCUGAGGCGUCACGGUCUCAUGAUUUUCUCUGUUAAUUUGCAUGAGGCCUUAUUGCUUAUUCAUGUCAAAUCCAGAGUAUACCAAAUGGAUGGCCAAAAAGUUUCUUCAAUGACGUCGAUAACCUUACAGAAGAGAAAGUGGAUAAAGUAUUGAAGAAAUUUCUAAAAGAUUUCAAAGAAGGUUCAUUAGAUCAAGACAAUGGCUGGCCUAAGACUUUUAGUGCUUAUAUCAUUUCUAAAGCUGCUAUGAAUGCAUAUACAAGAAUUCUUGCUAAGAAUUUUCCUACUUUAUGUAUCAAUAGUGUUUGUCCUGGUUAUGUUGUAACAGAUAUAACUGCCAAUACCGGUUUGUUAACAGUUGAAGAAGGUGCUGCUAGUGUUGUGAGGCUCGCACUACUUCGCAACAGUAGUCCAUCUGGCCUAUUCUUUUACCGGAGUGGAGUUUCUUCCUUUUGAUUAGUAGUAAUUAAGGAUAAACUGCUGAUUUUGCUUGUCAGUUAUGAGUCUACAUUGGUUGUCAAAUAGUAUUAUGAGCUGUAUAUUUUAUUAUAAAAUUUGGAAACAUGUCAUAAAUAUUCGACUAAGUUUUACAUUAGCUGUCGACUGCCUAACACAACACUCUCCUUUUAUCCGGGCUUGGGACCGGCUAUGCAUAACAAGGUUAACAUAACAUAGGCUUUGAUAUAAAAUGAGACAACAAAAUUCGAAAAACUAAUUUUGAUGGUUAAUUAAUUUGGUUCAAUAGAUGGUUAAUGAAUAUAACAAGGUAACCAUUCACAAAACAAAAUUAAUCACUAUUUUGAAUGUCUUUAAUCGGAAUUUUCUUUUUUUUUUUGACAGGAUUAAUCAGAAUUUUCUUAGGUGUAUAUUUAACACAAAUCAUAUAUAUUUGAACAUAAAUUGGACAGUUGUAAUAGAUAUCAUGUAUAUUUGAACAUUGGCUUCUUCAAAAAAAAAUGUAUAUUUGAACAUCUAAAAAUCUUGAUUAAAUGGAUGGUUUAUAAGUUGUGCAUACCUUGUUACAUUCAUUAACUUUAGUGAACGUAAUUUAUCACAUAUUUGAACGAUGUUAACUAUUUAAAUUGUUGUCAAAAUAUCAUUUCAUUAUUAACUAUUGUUAUUGAGACAUUACCAUAUAUAUUCUUGAUUAAGUAACAAGACUAUUUAAGAAUGACAGAAAUUAAAAGUGUGCAACUGUGAUACUCUCCAUCCAUUUCUAUAUACCAUAAUCUAACUCUAAUUAUAAGUAAUAUUUUUUUAAAAAAAAAUUGCCUCAAAUUAAUAGUCAUAGAAACAUGUAUAGAGAGGUAGGAGGCAAUAAUCAAUCACUCAGAAAAGUAGAAUUUCUGUGUAGUUUCACCAUAUCCCAAAACAAGAACGUUUCUCUUGUUAUAUACUACCGGUACUUUCGAAUCAACAUGCAUAGCAGAGAAGCACAGAACUAGCUGAAGUGAAGCAUUAUUCCAACUAAAGAUGGGAGAAGCUGCAGAAAGGUAUAGUAACAAACUUUCUUUGCUAAAGUUUUAGAAUUCGUUGGUGCAGUAACGGUUGCGAUUGUGUCACAAACUUUUGCAUUGCAGCCACAAACAUCAAUUUAAUCUUAAAGUAUAUGAAAAUGUGUCAAUCUAGUCUAUGAUAUCUCAAAAUUAAUGAUGUCGCAAUCGCAACUCAGAUCAUGGUCACAUACCAAGUUCAGAAAACUUUCUUUUAUAGAUUUUUUUCAAAUUAUCAAACCAUGUAGGUUAUGUUUAUUUGCAGGAUUGCAGUGGUGACCGGAUCAAACAAAGGAAUUGGGUUUGAGAUUGUUAAGCAAUUAGCUUCAGCCGGAAUCAAAGUAGUGCUUACUGCAAGAGACGAAAAAAGAGGUCUUCAAGCUUUGGAAACACUCAAAGCCUUUGGUUUAUCUGAAUUCGUUGUUUUUCAUCAACUUGAUGUGGCUGAUGCUUCAAGUGUAGCCUCUCUUGCACAUUUUAUCAAAUCCCAAUUUGGCAAACUUGAUAUUCUGGUAACAUGAAAAAUUGCAUGAUAGUGUAAAUGAAAGUUUGUUACAUUUUGAAGGGAAACUCUUGCUUCUCAUUUUGUCAUGUAUAAUACAAGUAUGUUUCAUUAAGAAAAUUUGUUGAAUGCAGGUUAACAAUGCAGGGAUUAGUGGAACUGUAAUUAAUGACACAGGUUUAGCUACUACGCUUAUCUCUAACCAUCGAGUAAGUGUUUAUAGGUGUUUUCACCUUUAAGUAAUGGAAACUGACUUAUGAAAAAAAUAUUGAUAAUAUUAUUUGAUUUGUGUCCAUGGCAGGUGUUAUCAGAAGAUGAAAAGAAAAAGGCAGUGACUCAAACAUAUGAGUUAGCUGAAGAAUGCUUGCAAAUAAAUUAUUAUGGUACUAAAAUAACUACUGAAUCACUUUCGCCACUCCUAAAGUUAUCUGAUUCACCAAGAGUUGUGAAUGUCUCAUCCACUUUAGGGAAGUUAGGGGUAAGCUGUUUUACUCCUUAUUGUGUUAAUGAAUUCUUAGAUUUUUCAUAAACGUUUGUGCCUACUGCCUAGUUUGCCAACAAGUCAAAAUUUGUUAUGUCGUCACUUUAAAACUCUCUUUUAAACGUUCUUUUAUUGGGUGGAAUUCAGGUAGGUCUCGCCACAACCAGACCUACAGGAAUUUCAUCAAAAAGAAUGUUUAAAAGAGUGUUACAAGUUGAGUGUUACUCUUACCAUUAUACUAAAAAGUAUAUGUUAUUUAUAGUACAGAAAAAUAAGUUUGGUUAUAAAAAGUUCAUAUUAUUAAAUUUAUCAUUGUCUCUUAAAAUUUGGCUAUAAUAUGAAUGAUGUAUGAAGCCUAUUGCUUUUCAUGUAAAAUCCAGAGCCUAAAAAAUGAAUGGACUAAAAAAGUCUUUAGUGAUGUUGAUAACCUAACCGAAGAGAAAGUGGAUGAAGUAUUGAAGAAGUUUCUAGAAGAUUUCAAAGAAGGUUCAUUGGAAAGCAAAGACUGGCCA